rnacentral:tRNA from 1 species
UGCCGAAGUGGCGGAAAGGCAGACGCGCUACGUUCAGGACGUAGUACCCUUUUGGGUGUGCGGGUUCAAAUCCCGCCUUCGGCAU